CCACAGCCAAACCUUUCUCCACUGAUCUCGAAAUUUUUGAGGUGGUGGCAACACUAAAACUACCGAUUUGUUGACCACUUUGAAAGAAAGAGCUGAAAUAACGCUGACAUACAACCAGCUUGGAGUUAAUCCAUGUUCUUCCAUACUAAAAAUAUGUUAUCAUCGUGAGUAUUGAAUUUCACCAAGAUAUCGAACGAUUGAUCGCACGAAUACGAUAUAUACAUUACGUAUUUACGUUACUAGUAAAU